rnacentral:rRNA from 1 species
UACGUAGGGAGCAAGCGUUGUUCGGAUUUACUGGGCGUAAAGGGCGCGUAGGCGGCAAAUUAAGUCAGCUGUGAAAUCUCCGAGCUUAACUCGGAACGGUCAGCUGAUACUGAUCUGCUAGAGUGCGGAAGGGGCAAUCGGAAUUCUUGGUGUAGCGGUGAAAUGCGUAGAUAUCAAGAGGAACACCUGAGGUGAAGACGGGUUGCUGGGCCGACACUGACGCUGAGUGCGCGAAAGCUAGGGUAGCAAACGGG